rnacentral:rRNA from 1 species
AGAGUUUGAUCCUGGCUCAGAACGAACGUUAGCGGCGCGCCUAACACAUGCAAGUCGCACGAGAAAGGGCUUCGGCCCCGGUACAGUGGCGCACGGGUGAGUAACACGUAGGUAAUCUCCCCUCGAGUGGUGGAUAACCUUCCGAAAGGAGGGCUAAUACAGCAUGAGACCACGGAUUCGCAGAAUUUGUGGCCAAAGCGGACCUCUUCAUGAAAGUUCGCGCUUGAGGAUGAGCCUGCGGCCCAUCAGCUAGUUGGUAAGGUAAUGGCUUACCAAGGCUAAGACGGGUAGCUGGUCUGAGAGGACGAACAGCCACACUGGAACUGAGACACGGUCCAGACUCCUACGGGAGGCAGCAGUGGGGAAUCUUGCGCAAUGGGCGAAAGCCUGACGCAGCGACGCCGCGUGAGCGAUGAAGGCCUUCGGGUUGUAAAGCUCUGUGGGGAGAGACGAAUAAGGUGCAGCUAAUAUCUGCAUCGAUGACGGUAUCUCCUUAGCAAGCACCGGCCAACUCUGUGCCAGCAGCCGCGGUAAGACAGAGGGUGCAAACGUUGUUCGGAAUUACUGGGCGUAAAGCGCGUGUAGGCGGCAGCGUGUGUCGGGCGUGAAAGCCCAUGGCUCAACCAUGGAAGUGCACCCGAAACUGCGCAGCUAGAGUCCUGGAGAGGAAGGUGGAAUACUUGGUGUAGAGGUGAAAUUCGUAGAUAUCAAGUGGAACACCGGUGGCGAAGGCGGCCUUCUGGACAGUGACUGACGCUGAGACGCGAAAGCGUGGGGAGCAAACAGGAUUAGAUACCCUGGUAGUCCACGCCGUAAACGAUGAGUGCUAGGUGUCACGGGCUUUGACCCUCGUGGUGCCGAAGCUAACGCGUUAAGCACUCCGCCUGGGGAGUACGGCCGCAAGGCUAAAACUCAAAGGAAUUGACGG